rnacentral:rRNA from 1 species
UACGUAGGGUCCAAGCGUUGUCCGGAUUUACUGGGCGUAAAGAGCGCGUAGGCGGUCUGUUAAGUGAGAAGUGAAAUCUCCAGGGCUCAACCCGGAAACUGCUUUUCAUACUGGCAGACUUGAGGGAUGCAGAGGUGAAUGGAAUUCCUGGUGUAGCGGUGAAAUGCGUUGAUAUCAGGAGGAACACCCAUGGCGAAGGCAGUUCACUGGGCAUCAUCUGACGCUGAGGCGCGAAAGCGUGGGUAGCAAACAGG